CCUACGGGUGGCAGCAGUGAGGAAUAUUGGUCAAUGGCCGGAAGCCUGAACCAGCCAAGCCGCGUGAAGGACGAAGGUGCCAAGCAUUGUAAACUUCUUUUGUCAAGGGACAAAAUCAGGCUCGAGAGCCUGACCGAGGGUACUUGAAGAAAAAGCAUCGGCUAACUCCGUGCCAGCAGCCGCGGUAAUACGGAGGAUGCGAGCGUUAUCCGGAUUUAUUGGGUUUAAAGGGUGCGUAGGCGGGCUGUGAAGUCGGCGGUAAAAGCCCGGGGCUAAACCCCGGCGAGCCGUUGAAACUGGCCGUCUUGAGAUGUCGAGAGGUAGGCGGAAUGCGCAGUGUAGCGGUGAAAUGCUUAGAUAUUGCGCAGAACUCCGAUUGCGAAGGCAGCAUACCGGCGGCGAUCUGACGCUGAGGCACGAAAGCGUGGGUAUCGAACAGGAUUAGAUACCCGAGUAGUC
rnacentral:rRNA from 1 species